rnacentral:rRNA from 1 species
GUAGGGUGCAAGCGUUAAUCGGAAUUACUGGGCGUAAAGCGUGCGCAGGCGGUUGUGCAAGACAGAUGUGAAAUCCCCGGGCUCAACCUGGGAAUGGCAUUUGUGACUGCACGGCUAGAGUGUGUCAGAGGGGGGUAGAAUUCCACGUGUAGCAGUGAAAUGCGUAGAUAUGUGGAGGAAUACCGAUGGCGAAGGCAGCCCCCUGGGAUAACACUGACGCUCAUGCACGAAAGCGUGGGGAGCAAACAGGAUUAGAUACCCUGGUAGUCCACGCCCUAAACGAUGUCUACUAGUUGUCGGGUCUUAAUUGACUUGGUAACGCAGCUAACGCGUGAAGUAGACCGCCUGGGGAGUACGGUCGCAAGAUUA